rnacentral:rRNA from 1 species
UCAAGCGAAGAAGAGCGCAGGGUGGAUGCCUUGGCACUAAGAGCCGAUGAAAGACGUGAUAAGCUGCGAUAAGCUGCGGUAAGGAGCAAAUAUCCAUUGACCCGCAGAUUUCUGAAUGGGGAAACCCACAUGAGAACACCUCAUGUAUCCAUACGCCAAUCCAUAACGUAUGGAGGGGAACCCGGUGAACUGAAACAUCUAAGUAGCCGGAGGAAGAGAAAGAAAAAUCGAUUCCGUAAGUAGCGGCGAGCGAACGCGGAAGAGCCCAAACCAUGGUGCGUGCACCAUGGGGUUCGGACUGCAUAAUUGAUUCAAUGAACCUAGCAGAAUGGUUUUGGGAAAGCCAGCCAGAGAGGGUGAAAGCCCCGUAAGCGAAAGGCGGAUUGACAUGGCAGUAUCCAGAGUACAUCGAGACACGUGGAACCUUGAUGGAAGGAGCGGGGACCACCCCGUAAGGCUAAAUACUACUUAGUGACCGAUAGCGCAUAGUACUGUGAAGGAAAGGUGAAAAGGACCCCGGGAGGGGAGUGAAAGAGAACCUGAAACCCUGUGUUUACAAACUGUCGGAGGGCUUUAUAUGCCCGACGGCGUACUUUUUGUAGAACGGUCCGGCGAGUUGUGCAUACUGGCAAGGUUAAGGGAUGAAGUCCCGGAGCCGCAGGGAAACCAAGCCUUAAGAGGGCGAAUGAGUCAGUGUGUGCAGACCCGAAACCGGGUGACCUAUCCAUGUCCAGGUUGAAGUUGCCGUAAAAGGCAAUGGAGGACCGAACGCACAUCCGUUGAAAAGGGUGGCGAUGAGGUGUGGAUAGCGGAGAAAUUCCAAUCGAACCCGGAGAUAGCUGGUUCUCCUCGAAAUAGCUUUAGGGCUAGCCUCGUUUUAGUCUGGUGGAGGUAGAGCACUGAAUUCCCAAGGGGGCGUCAAAGCUUACUAAGGGAUAUCAAACUCCGAAUGCCAUACAGAUGAUGAACGGGAGUCAGACUAUACGAGAUAAGUUGGAUAGUCAAAAGGGAAAGAGCCCAGACCCGCAGCUAAGGUCCCAAAGUGCAUGUUAAGUGGAAAAGGAUGUGGGAUCUCUAAGACAACUAGGAUGUUGGCUCAGAAGCAGCCAUUCAUUCAAAGAGUGCGUAACAGCUCACUAGUCGAGAGGUCCUGCGCCGAAAAUGUCCGGGGCUAAAACAUGCCACCGAAGCCCGGGAAUGACGUAAGUCAUUGGUAGAGGAGCAUUCUUAACGCGAAGAAGCAGUACCGUAAGGAGCUGUGGAGUGCUAAGAAGAGAGAAUGCCGGAAUGAGUAGCGAGAACAAGGUGAGAAUCCUUGUGGCCGAAUAUCCAAGGUCUCCAGGGUAAAGCUGAUCUGCCCUGGGAAAGUCGGGACCUAAGGUCAGGCUGAAAAGCGUAGCCGAUGGACAACAGGUUGAUAUUCCUGUACCGCAUGGUAACAGAACUGUGGGGACACGGGAGGGAAACAUGGGCCGGAAAUGGAAAGUCCGGUACAAACGGGGUAGUCGCACAGCAGGCAAAUCCGCUGUGCUAAAGACGAAGCCGUGAUGUGGAGCGAAAAGAAGUAGCGAAGCAUGUGCCCCCUCCUGUCGAGAAAAGCCGCUAUUGUUUGCCAUGCGCCCGUACCGUAAACCGACACAGGUGGAUGAGGAGAGAAUCCUAAGGCCGGCGGGAGAAGCAUUGUCAAGGAACUCGGCAAAAUGACCCCGUAACUUCGGGAGAAGGGGUGCCCACGCAAGUGGGCCGCAGAGAAUAGGCUCAAGCAACUGUUUAGCAAAAACACAGGUCUAUGCGAAACCGUAAGGUGAUGUAUAUGGGCUGACGCCUGCCCGGUGCUGGAAGGUUAAGAGGAGAGGUUAGCUUCGGCGAAGCUUUGAAUCCAAGCCCCAGUAAACGGCGGCCGUAACUAUAACGGUCCUAAGGUAGCGAAAUUCCUUGUCGGGUAAGUUCCGACCCGCACGAAAGGCGUAAUGAUUUGAGCGCUGUCUCGACAAUGCA